rnacentral:rRNA from 1 species
UACGUAGGGUGCGAGCGUUAAUCGGAAUUACUGGGCGUAAAGCGUGCGUAGGCGGUUCGUUGUGUCUGUGGUGAAAGCCCCGGGCUUAACCUGGGAAUGGCCAUGGAAACUGGCGGGCUGGAGUGUGGCAGAGGGGGGUGGAAUUCCGCGUGUAGCAGUGAAAUGCGUAGAGAUGCGGAGGAACACCAGUGGCGAAGGCGACACGCUGGGCCGUACCUGACACUGAUGCGCGACAGCAUGGGGAGCAAACAGG